UUAACACAUGCAAGUCGAACGGUGAAGCAGAGCUUGCUCUGUGGAUCAGUGGCGAACGGGUGAGUAACACGUGAGCAAUCUGCCCCUGACUCUGGGAUAAGCGCUGGAAACGGCGUCUAAUACCGGAUACGAGCUGCGACCGCAUGGUCAGUAGCUGGAAAGAAUUUCGGUCAGGGAUGAGCUCGCGGCCUAUCAGCUUGUUGGUGAGGUAAUGGCUCACCAAGGCGUCGACGGGUAGCCGGCCUGAGAGGGUGACCGGCCACACUGGGACUGAGACACGGCCCAGACUCCUACGGGAGGCAGCAGUGGGGAAUAUUGCACAAUGGGCGCAAGCCUGAUGCAGCAACGCCGCGUGAGGGAUGACGGCCUUCGGGUUGUAAACCUCUUUUAGCAGGGAAGAAGCGAAAGUGACGGUACCUGCAGAAAAAGCGCCGGCUAACUACGUGCCAGCAGCCGCGGUAAUACGUAGGGCGCAAGCGUUAUCCGGAAUUAUUGGGCGUAAAGAGCUCGUAGGCGGUCUGUCGCGUCUGCUGUGAAAACCCGAGGCUCAACCUCGGGCCUGCAGUGGGUACGGGCAGACUAGAGUGCGGUAGGGGAGAUUGGAAUUCCUGGUGUAGCGGUGGAAUGCGCAGAUAUCAGGAGGAACACCGAUGGCGAAGGCAGAUCUCUGGGCCGUAACUGACGCUGAGGAGCGAAAGGGUGGGGAGCAAACAGGCUUAGAUACCCUGGUAGUCCACCCCGUAAACGUUGGGAACUAGUUGUGGGGUCCAUUCCACGGAUUCCGUGACGCAGCUAACGCAUUAAGUUCCCCGCCUGGGGAGUACGGCCGCAAGGCUAAAACUCAAAGGAAUUGACGGGGACCCGCACAAGCGGCGGAGCAUGCGGAUUAAUUCGAUGCAACGCGAAGAACCUUACCAAGGCUUGACAUAUAGAGGAAACGU
rnacentral:rRNA from 1 species